rnacentral:rRNA from 1 species
UGCUAAUACAUGCAAGUCGAGCGGACAGAUGGGAGCUUGCUCCCUGAUGUUAGCGGCGGACGGGUGAGUAACACGUGGGUAACCUGCCUGUAAGACUGGGAUAACUCCGGGAAACCGGGGCUAAUACCGGAUGGUUGUUUGAACCGCAUGGUUCAGACAUAAAAGGUGGCUUCGGCUACCACUUACAGAUGGACCCGCGGCGCAUUAGCUAGUUGGUGAGGUAACGGCUCACCAAGGCGACGAUGCGUAGCCGACCUGAGAGGGUGAUCGGCCACACUGGGACUGAGACACGGCCCAGACUCCUACGGGAGGCAGCAGUAGGGAAUCUUCCGCAAUGGACGAAAGUCUGACGGAGCAACGCCGCGUGAGUGAUGAAGGUUUUCGGAUCGUAAAGCUCUGUUGUUAGGGAAGAACAAGUGCCGUUCAAAUAGGGCGGCACCUUGACGGUACCUAACCAGAAAGCCACGGCUAACUACGUGCCAGCAGCCGCGGGUAAUACAAUA